AGUGAACGCUGGUGGUAGGCCUAACACAUGCAAGUCGAACGGCAGCACAGUAAGAGCUUGCUCUUACGGGUGGCGAGUGGCGGACGGGUGAGGAAUACAUCGGAAUCUACUUUUUCGUGGGGGAUAACGUAGGGAAACUUACGCUAAUACCGCAUACGACCUACGGGUGAAAGCAGGGGAUCUUCGGACCUUGCGCGAUUGAAUGAGCCGAUGUCGGAUUAGCUAGUUGGCGGGGUAAAGGCCCACCAAGGCGACGAUCCGUAGCUGGUCUGAGAGGAUGAUCAGCCACACUGGAACUGAGACACGGUCCAGACUCCUACGGGGGGCAGCAGUGGGGAAUAUUGGACAAUGGGCGCAAGCCUGAUCCGGCCAUACCGCGUGGGUGAAGAAGGCCUUCGGGUUGUAAAGCCCUUUUGUUGGGAAAGAAAAGCAGCAGGUUAAUACCCCGCUGUUCUGACGGUACCCAAAGAAUAAGCACCGGCUAACUUCGUG
rnacentral:rRNA from 1 species